rnacentral:rRNA from 1 species
UACGAAGGGAGCUAGCGUUGUUCGGAGUCACUGGGCGUAAAGCGCACGUAGGCGGACGUGUCAGUCAGGGGUGAAAUCCCGGAGCUCAACUUCGGAACUGCCUUUGAUACAGCACGUCUUGAGUCCGGAAGAGGUGGGUGGAAUUCCUAGUGUAGAGGUGAAAUUCGUAGAUAUUAGGAAGAACACCGGUGGCGAAGGCGGCCCACUGGUCCGGUACUGACGCUGAGGUGCGAAAGCGUGGGGAGCAAACAGG